CCUGGCAACGAUAGCGCGGUGGUCCCACCUGACCCCAUGCCGAACUCAGAAGUGAAACGCCGUAGCGCCGAUGGUAGUGUGGGGU
rnacentral:rRNA from 2 species